rnacentral:tRNA from 1 species
GCCGGUGUGGCUCAGGGGAUAGAGCGCCAGCCUGUAGACUGGAGGGUCCCGGGUUCAAAUCCGGUCAAGGGCA